CUGACUUUAAUGUCAGAAUUCUGACUUUAAUCUCAGAAUUCUGACUUUUUUCUCAGAAUUCUGACUUUAAUCUCAGAAUUCUGACUUUAAUCUCAGAAUUUUGACUUUAAUGCAGGUGAGCACCUGGAAGCAUCUGGGUGCAACCAGCUUCAUCGCCUGAGAUGUGAGUCGUGCAGGGGAACGUCCAGCAAUCUUGGGGAACAUGUCAGAUUUAAGUGACUUUUUACGUGGCCGAGGGCUUCCUGAAGAUGCCAUUUCAUUAUUGGAAGAGCAGAAGAUUGAUUGGGAUGUCAUAGCGCUGAUGGAUGACGCAACUCUGGCAAAUUACAUCCCUUCCUAUGGAGACCGAAUUGCCCUCUUCAA